CUGUGGCUCCGUGUUAAUGGCGUUAUUAAAAUACUUCAUCAGCAGGGACGUAGCGAAGCAUCUGAAGUCGGGGGUGGGGGUGUCAGAGGAUUUUACCUGAAAAUUGAACUUCAAUGUUAAAAAUUUACCUGAAGUUUUUUACAUUUCUGAAGCUCUAUGACUGCAUUUCUGGCGUUUUCUAAAGCGAAUUCUCAAACGAAUUGCAUGUAAAUUGACUGUGUU